rnacentral:lncRNA from 1 species
AGAACCGUAUCUCAAUUGAUCCUCUAAAUGAGUCUUAGUGCAAUUGUAUGUCUAAGAAGAGGAAUCAGGAAUUGAAGAAAUGGUUAAAUCAAUAAGUCAAUCAUACUUCGUUCCAAAACAAGUUUUAGAGUUAAGAUCGUGACAUUGAGUGACAAGUCUAAAGAAGUUUUAUAACAUUCAUCAAAUUUGGAAUUUGGAAAAGGGUUUUCUUAUUCUUGCACAUUUGAAAUUGGUAUGUUGUGGUGUCUUGGAUAAGACAAAGACCAACUAGGACCAAUUUUGUGAAGUGUUCUGUCUUGAUAAAAGCUACACUAACUCUUGAAUAUUUGUUUGUCAAGAAAUGUUUCUUGACAAGAGAAUCUUAUAUGUCAAGAAGUCAGUGGGAGUCUUAAUGUCUUGGCAGGUUUCAAGAACUAAUCAAGAAUAAACCUUAUCAAUCAUCACUAGCACACGACUUGAGGAUUACAACCUAUCAUGUUAACAAUAUCUUGUUUCUGUGCCAUUCCAAUUAAGUUAAUUAUGCAUGUGAAUUCUAUGAGUUCUCAUUUGAAUGCAUAAAAGGCAAGGACCUUGAUCAAUGAAAAGUACAUUGAUAAGAAAGGUUGAGCUGCUUAACUACUUGGAAGACAUGGUGGGCACUCGUGUUACCAUAAGGCAAGGUAUCAAGAUUAAGAAAGUUUGGUCCAUAAGAGUUUAGAUUUGUCGCAAAUUUUGGUUUUGGACAAAUUCGCAUGGAUAGGAACACAUAAACCAUUAAAAUCUGAGUGUCAUAAGAUUCCUUUCUUCAUGAAGAUGACUGUGAGGAAAUGCUUUCACCAAGAGAGAUUUUAAGAAGAUAGUGAUUGUGAAAAUUGUAUUCUCGAAUUUGAUUAUGGUUACGGUAUCCCUUUCCAUAAUUAGAAUUGUCAGAUUUAAAAAUUAGUCUGAAUUGUUUAGACACACAUAUGAGCAAUCUUAGGCAAAGGUGUAUGAGAUUAAGAAGCUUUGAUAAAAGAUUAUCAAAGCAUUAAGUAUUAGAAAUAUGAACUUAAGAAAUUCAAUAGGUAUUGUUUUUUUGGAAGUUAAGUUGUUUUUUGAAUACAUGUCAAAGCUAGUGGGAACAUAAGUGUUAUGCUUAUAUGAUAAUAAUCAUCAUGAUAGUGGGAGCAUAAAUGUUGUGCAUGUAUGAUUAUUAAGACAAGUAUUGCAAGUUAGAAAUAUUAAUUAUAGAAAACAAGAGUUAUACUUUGCAAAGUCGUAAGGGUUGAAUAGUUGUUUUGCUAUAAUUAAGGGAGAGAAUAUUAUGCUUCAUUUCAAAUCUAAAGGCUUAGGUUGUGGAAUGUUAAUAAAUUUAGUCAAGGAUACAUAGUGUGUUCUCAAAUUUUGAAAUUGUGAGAACGUGGCACAUAAAAUAUUAUGGCAGAAGAUUGUUAAAGUAUCAGAUCUUUAUGUAAGACAUUAUGCAUUGAGUUCCAUUCACUUCGGGUAUAGGAUCGAUUGCAAAUGCUCUAAUAUUUGACCAUUCUAAAAAAAUUUCAAAAUGUCUAGCGCAUUUAGAGGGAAAAAGGACUAGAAUCGGUUUUGACUAAAAUAAUUAAACAACUAUCAAAGGACGAUCCAAAGCUCGCUAAGGAUUGGUCGCUUGUGAGUAGUUGGAAGUAUGGUAUUGGAUGGACCAUAUCGACAUUAUUAUAAAUAGAUAAGAUUCUAUUAAGAAUGAGUUGUCAUAUGGCAAAUAUGGAAAUGUUUCCAUAUUGGGAGUUGGAUAUUGAGAAUCAAUGUCUAGAUUAGAAACUUUUAUGCAAGAAGAAUGUUCAAAGGAAUGUACUUUGAGUGAGAGACAUUAUAUCUAUAGAAUUGUUUCUGAUAGAGAUUGGCCAAAUCUUGAUGAUUUUGAGCUAUGACUUUAUGAAAGGAUCAUUGCAUAAAAAUGUUAGAAUCUAGCAUAUUCCAUAAGUAACAAGAAUUUGAUAUUCUUAUACUUAUGAUAAGGAUUGGGAGUUGUGAAAUGAGUAUGAUUGGAAAUGUGUUCAUUUGAUCUAUUUCACAAAGUAAGGACCGUAGGUAAACAUUGUGUGCAUGCUGAGAGCAUGGGACAAGUGUAGUAAUAAUUCAAGUAAGAAGUUGAUUACCUGAAACAACAAAUAAUGAGUAAUCAAUAUGGUGAUUAAAUAAAAUGUUUUAUUUAUACCCAGAGUUUGGGGCCAUAUGGGAUUAGUAUUAUUCUUGUGUUUCACUUUGCAUGUUUUGACUUCCUGAAUAAUUAAAUUGGUUCAGAACAAUCAAAUUAUUCGAACGGACCACAGUCGUUCAUAUGUUGGAAGUAGGUAUGAAUGAAGACUGUCGUGAAUUGGUGUGUGGAUUGUCUAAAGUGUAUUAGACAUAAGCAAAUGUUUGCUGCAACGUUCAUGAGUGCUUAUGAAUAUGAUUUGAGCAUUGGAUUAAACCCACGCUCACUUGGAUCACUUCAUGGAUUUUAUCACGAGUGAUUGGUGAGAUGAUAAUAUCUUAUAUUCUUGAAACCGAGAUGUGUGAGUUGUAUCUUGCGAGUCGGUUACACAUUGAUAAUAUGUAAACGCACCAGUAACUUGGUGUUAUAAAACAUAUUGUUGUGUGUGAUUCGGUGAGUGAGUGCAAGCAAGCAUUGAAUCAAAGUUUAUCCGUUCCUUUUAUCCAAAGUAGGAUGAAAGCGAUAUCUGUGGGCCCCUCGAUGAUUUAGUGAUGACACCUAAGCGCUUGGCCAAGCCGGGACUAAUUUGAUGUGUUCAAUUGUAGUCUGUUGUCAGUCGUCAUAAAUCGGAAAUCGGGAAACAACACAUAGACAGAGAGAAUGAUUUAAAUCCAUGUCUCAGUCUAUACGAUAUCUAUUAUGGAGGAAUAUAUGAUCCCUUAUCUAAAGGGCACAUGCUUCUUAUAGGAUCAGAGUUGACAAUGGUUUUUGAAAGCUACGAUUGUAGAUCAGGAUCUGAAGUCAUACGCAGAAUAGUUAUUAGACUUAUCCAAGUGGGAGACUGUUGGAUUAGUGUCUAAGUCCAUAACUAUUUUGGUAUGUACUUGACCCGAUGGUGCAUGGUCCUUUUGGGUUGCCUUCACCAAAGCAACUUGAUAGGAUGAAUUAUGGAGAGAAAGGAUUAAAUAUGAUUUAUUAAUAUAUUAUGAGAAUAAUAUAUUAAAGGAGAAAUCAUAUUGUUUAAUUAAUAUUAGUCAAGAAUUAAUAAGAAUUAAUUUUGUGGCUAAAAGACAUUAAUUAAACUUAAGGGACUAGAACUGUCAAUUGUCUGAUAGUUAAAUAUUGGGCUAAUGGACUCCAUAAUAGAGAGGUGGACGAAUUCUAUGGGGAAACCCAUUAGAAAUCGUCCUUGGCCUCAAAGGAGGGAGUCCAUGGGUUGCUUAUGGCCUAAGCAUUUAAAUUAGGGUUUCCUUGUUAGAUAACCCUAAUAGCUUCACUAUUUAAGGAUCCCUAGAGCACCAAAAACGUGGUGAACUAACUCCUUAGGGUUUCUACACGGUUUUUGGUCCCUCCUCUCUUAUCAUUCUUCAUCCUCUUGCACUUGGUGUUUGUGAGCCAUUAGAGGAGUGACACUUGUGACUCUAAGCUUUGUAAAGCCAUUACAAGGAGGAUUUGAGAUUGUUAUUGCUACAUAACAAUCAAGGUAAGAUCUAAAUCCCAUUCUUAUGUUAAUAUGAUUAAUUGUAUGCUAGAACUAGGGUUUAAAGUCUUGGAUGAAUUGCAUGUACAAUAGAGAAACCUAGAUCCAAGCAUUAGGGUUUGCAUGAGCACAUAGGAUGUUCUUAUGGCCAAAACCCAUCAGAGAUAUCAUUAGAUGAGAGUGCGGGAUGAAGAUAUCCAGAAGACGGCGUUCAAAACUCGUUAUGGGCAUUACGAGUUCAUGAUGAUGCCUUUUGAGCUCACCAAUGCACCGACAGCGUUCAUGGAUCUCAUGUAUAGGGUGGGUAGGCCGAUGUUGGAUCGGUCGAAGAUCGUGUUCAUUGAUGAUAUUUUGGUCUAUUCGAGAUCUAGAGAGCGGCAUGAGGAGCAUCUGAGAGAGAUUCUCGGGGUAUUGAGGUCGGAGAGGCUUUUCGCCAAAUUCUCCAAGUGUGAUUUUUGGUUACGAGAGGUCCAGUUCUUGGGACACCUCGUUAACCAGAAUGGGAUAUUGGUCGAUCCGGCCAAGAUUGAGGCAGUUAUGAGAUGGGAGGUGCCGAGAUCACCCACCGAGAUCAGGAGUUUUCUAGGAUUGGCCGGCUAUUAUCGGAGAUUUAUCAUGGAUUUCUACAAGAUCGUCGUGCCUCUCACCAGGUUGACCCGGAAGGGUGUUGCUUUUUCAUGGGGUCCGGAGCAGCAAACCUCGUUUGAGACACUUCGCCAGAGAUUAUGCAAAUCCCCAGUGUUAGCCCUCCCGGAAUGGAUGGAGGAUUUUGUGAUGUAUUGUGACGCAUCGAUAUCAGGGUUGGAUGCAGUACUUAUGCAGAGGGGGCAUGUGAUAGCAUAUGCAUCAGGGCAGCUAAAGCCUCAUGAGACGAGGUAUCCCACCCACAAUCUAGAGUUGGGGUAGUGGUGUUUGCCUCAAGAUAUAGCGUCACUAUUUGUAUGGGGUUCGGUGUACCAUAUACACGGACCACAAGAGCUUGAAGUAUUUGAUGGAUCAGCCCAAUCUGAAUAUGCGCCAGAGGAGAUGGUUGGACGUGGUAAAGGAUUACGAUUGUGAGAUCCUGUACCACUCAGGCAAAGCAAAUGUUGUAGCUAAUACCCUGAGCCAUAGGGCGGAGAGUGCCCCGAUUUGAGACAUUUGUAUGCGACUGACAUUGAUGACUCCGGUGUUGGACACCAUUCGGGAGGCCCAAGCAAAGGCCGUGAGACCGGAGAACCGUAAGAGAGAGCAGGUGAUUGGGCAGGUACCUGAGUUCGUUACCGAUAGCCGCGGGCUUAUGACCUUUCAGGGUCGGAUUUGGGUGUCGUAUGCAGGCGGGGCGCGCACCACUUUGUUGGAGGAGACGAAUAGAUCGAGAUUCUCGAUCCAUCCCGAGGCCACUAAGAUGUAUUUGGAUCUGAAGCAAGAUUAUUGGUGGCCCUAUAUGAAGAGGGAUGUAGCAUGGUUUGUUGAGAGGUGCUUGACCUGACACAGGGUUAAGGCAGAGCACCAACGUCCGCCUGGAAAGUUGUAGCCACUUGAGGUUCCCCAAUGGAAGUGGGAACAGAUUUCUAUGGAUUUCAUCACCAAAUUGUUGAGGACCGCGAGGGGUGUCGAUGCAAUUUGGGUGAUCGUCGACCGGCUGAUGAAGAGUGCUCACUUUCUUGCUAUUAGUGAGAGCUCUUCAGUAGAGUGGCUGGCAGAGUUGUAUGUGAGGGAGGUGGUAUUGCGGCAUGGAGUGCCGAUCUCGAUUGUGUCAGAUCGGGAUGUACAUUUCACUUCUAGGUUCUGGAAGAAGUUCCACGAGGAGUUAGGCACGAGGUUGCAUUUCAGUACCGCUUACUACCCACAGACGGACGGACAGAGUGAGCGGAUGAUUCAGAUGCUCGAGGACAUGCUUCGGGCAUGUGUGUUGGACUUCGGAGGGAGUUGGGACAUGUAUUUGCUGUUGGCAGAGUUUUUCCUAUAACAACAGUCACCAUUCGAGCAUUGGUAUGCCUCCCUUCGAGUUGUUGUAUGGGAGGAGGUGUCGGACUCCCAUUUGUUGGGGAGAGGUAGGGUAGCGAGUGAUGGGAAACACUGAGAUAGUGCUUCAAACGACAGAGCAGAUACAACAGGUCAGGCAGAGGUUGUUGACAGCUCAGAGUCGCCAGAAGAGUUAUGCGGAUAGGCGACGAUCCGAGCUCGAGUUUCAGGGCGGAGACUUCGUACUCCUGAAAGUGUCUCCUUUGAAAGGAGUGAUUCGAUUUAGGAAGAGGGGCAAGUUGGGGCCCCGAUACAUUGGGCUGUUCAGGGUGACCACGAGGGUGGGCAGGAUAGCAUAUUGGUUGGAGCUCCCUGCGGAGUUGAGUCAGAUACAUGAUACCUUCAACGUGUCCCAGUUGAGAAAGUGUAUAGCCGACGAGUCGGCGGUGGUACCAUCGGAGGAUAUUCAGGUGGAUGCGAGCCUGAAUUAUGUUGAGAGGCCAGUCGUGGUGGUGGAUCCGAAGAUCAAGGUUUUGAGAGACAAGGAAGUGCCACUUUUUCUUGUUCAGUGGCAGCAUCGAAAAGGGUCUGAGCUGACUUGGGAGCCGGAGGCAGAGAUGCAGAAGCUACACCCAGAGUUGUUUGUAGAAUGAGACUUCGAGGGCGAAUUCUGAUUCUAGUGGGGGAGAAUUGUAACAUUCGGAUUCCCAGGUAUCUUAUUUUAAUUAUUUAUCUUGAGUUUAAUGGAGGGGCUCGGCAAGUAGACGCUCAGACUCGCCGAGUAGGAUCGCGAAUUCUUGUCUGGAUUAAUGAUCAGACUCGAUGAGUCGAUGAGUGGACUCGGCGAGUCUGCACUGUAAAGUGAAACCCUAAAUCUCAGGGCCUGAUCCUUAUUUAAAGGCCCUUAUGGUCGUCAUUUGUGGCCACUACUCCCCUGUGAAAACCCUAGAGAGCUUAGAGAGCAAUUUGGAGGCUAACUCUUCAUCCUUUGGUGCGAUCUUGCAAGAAGGAGUGGGAAAAUCCAAGCUAGAUCGAUUGUGGAGCUUGGAUCUGUGUUGUUCACACUGAGAUUCACGUUUUAAUGUACAAGUUCCUUCCCAUUUCAUGUAUUUGAUAGAUUCCUCGAAUCUAGGGUUUCCUUUGCACAAUUUGAGUUAGAUUGUAAAGCAUAUGAGGUCCCUUUGGGUAUAGAUGAUAGAUCUAGACCUUGAGAGGUCCAAAAGGUCCCAGGCUUCCAGCUUUAUGAGGUUUCAUGUGAGCCUUGAGAGUAGAACCCCAUUUUAAAGGUUAUUUCUCCAUUUUUGGUCUUAUAAGCAUUGCAUGAACGUAAAGUUUGAACCUUUACGUGACUUUUGAGUGUUCGAAGGUUAGAUCUUGUGACAUCCCCAAAAUCAUGGCCAGAAAAGACCGAUUUUCAUUUAUGCUUUUAAAAUAAUUUCAGAGUAAAUCAUUUUGAUUUGAAAGAGUUGUGGAAUUUGUUCCCAAAAACAAAGUAUGAUAAAAUAAUAUUUACCAAAGCAUUUCAUAAAGAAAUGUAUUUUCAUUAUAUAAUCAAAACUCGGGAUGUCAUGUUCCGAUACAGACCAUAAAGCAUAAACGAUAACAUUACAAGUCGUUCAACAAAUAUAUACAUAUACAGACUUGUAAACAAAACAACUUGAUGAUUCAUCCAUCUUAUGCCCUUGCGCCACUUCCUGUAAUACAAAUAAACUGAGUGGGUCAGGCUUGGGAGCCUGGUGAGCAUAUAGGGUUUUCAACCCACAAUAAAUAAUUAUAUUUAAUUUCACCAACCAACAAUAACCCAAUUACCCAUUCCCGUUAUCCUCACUUUAUGUCCCUAAAACAACUAACAUAAGGGACCUAGUCUAAGAAUAUUUCAUCGGGGCGACAACACAUGCUUCGGGGGUUCCUCAGCAAUAUAAGUCAAAUAAGGCAACCAUGAGGGGGAUGGAGUACAGCGAAUGAACACCCAAGUUCAUUAACACCUACAGGUGGCGAACCUGCUAGCGUUUCCACAAGACUAUCUAGAAAAGUAUGUGGUCGUCAUCUAAACUCCGCUAGAUGACUAAAUCAAACAACAACGAGGCCUCUCAUCUGUUUAUUACACACCAACUAUCUACCCAUGUUCUACCCAACAUAUUAGUAGAUAAAAAUAUACAUUUGUAUACAUAGUUUAAAACCCUGUAUAGCAUGCUUUAAUCAAUACAUAUUCCACAUAACAGAUGAGGCACACACACAUAACACGUAUUUCAUAGAGAAUAACUCAUAUCUAUGAGAUAGAAGAAAGUGAAUAUACAUUCACACAUAUAACAACAAAAUAUACACAUAACACGUAUUUUAUAUAAAAUAAUUCAUAAUUAUGCGUUAGAAGAAAGUAACUACACAUUCACUUGAUCAGAAGAUGAUCGGACAACACUACGGCUUGUAGAAGUAGUAUUCUUCGAUAGAUUUGGAAGAUCUUCACAAAAACCGGACUCCUCGCGGGCAGAGGUUUGGAUCGGGAAUUGCACUUCUCGGGAUCUUCGGGGCUUCAGGACUUGCUUCGGGGCUCGGGAAUGAUACUGGGGCUUCGGGAGAAUUCUUGCACGAAAAAUGAUGCAAAAACGCAAGAGAAAGGGAAGAAAUGAGCAAAGAACUCGGAUGCCCUCGACAUCCUUUUAUAAGGGGCUGGAACUUCGAUUUACGCUGGGCGUAAUGAGGAUAGGAUCGCUNGAACUCCGUUUUCGAUGUUUUUUAUAUCCUCACGUAGGUGAGACUACGCUAUACAACUUUCGUUUAGACUCCAUCAGGUAAUUUUGAAUUUAUUUUUAUUAUUUAUUUUUAGUAGGCCGGGACAAGAAAACUCCGUUAUAAAAUCAUAACUUCUUCAUCCGACGUCCGUUUUCGUCUAUCUUUUCAUCGUUUCACUACAAUUAACGAGAUCUUCGAUUCUCGUUUAGAUUGUUUCGGCUAAAAACCGCUCGGUCUCAAAUCGAGUAUUCGGGCUGCAUACUGCUAAGUCGAAACUUAUAAAAAUCAUAACUUCCUCAUACGAAGUCAGAUUUGGGCGUUCUUUUUAUGCACGCUCUCGGUUUAAUGAACUCUACGACUUUCGUUUAGAUCACUAAGGCUAAAUAUCGCUCUAACAUAAAUUUCACUUUUUACGUCAUUCAACGUUGCCGGUUCUGUCGCGAAACUUCGACAGGUCAUAACUUCUUCGUUAUAUCUCGGAUUUCUGCAUUCUUUAUAUCUUCAAAAUCAUUGUUUUGACAACUGCAUCUUUAUGCAAAGAUAUCGGGCUUAUCUCACACUUUAUAUUUGACGCUUAUUUUAUUCUUAAUUCAUUAAAUUAUAAUAAUUAAGAAAAUAAACACAUAAUUCACAUAAUACUCAAAUAUUUCAUCAUUAAUACUACAAAAAGAGUUACAAGGGUUAACCUAGACUAUUACAUCAAUGAUAAUGCCUAGCCUGGAAACGCAAGCGUUACAGAUCUACUGGUUCGUGAAGCAGAUCUGACCUCAAAAUAUCGUUUGAGUGUUUUCAUGGGAGGAACUCGCCGAGUCCACAAGAGACUCGACAAGUCGAGUCGGGUUGCCUCGCGAUUCGCGACCUUUGAUAACCUGUUUAGUGUAGGGUUGACUCAGUGAGUCGAGUGAGGACCAGGGGUGAAGAGUACAUGCAUGGACUCGUCGAGUCACACGAGUGCACUCGACGAGUCUGGUCAACGUUUGACCGUUGACUUUUGUUGACUUUAAGGGUUUGGUCAAUAAUUGGACUUGUGGACCAUUUGAAGGGUAAAAUGGUAUUUUAGCCUUCUUAGAGGACAUGGAAGAGACUAUUCUAUCCUGGCGAGCCGUUAUUGAUUUGAGAUAAAUGUUUAUGCGUUUAGGCGGAGGCUAGAUCAGUAUAUACGUGUGCGACAUUGUCCGAGAUAGCCGAGGUGAAUCUUAUCACUACACUAUACCUGGAAGGGUACCUAUGUGUGACCAGAAGGUCUUAUAUGAUAUGAGAUGUAUGUGCUAUAUGCUGAUAUGUGAUAUGUAUGUGUUAUGUAUGCUAUGUAUGAUAAGGAUCGGAAGGUCAAGAUGAUAUCGACCGGAAGGUCAAGAGGACAUGGACCGGAAGGUCAGGAGGUUACAGACCGGAACGUCUACCGGGAUUUGGGACAGAAGUCCCCUGAGACACUUGGACCAGAAGGUCCCACAGAGUUAUGGCCUGGAAAGGCGUAUGUGUUGUAUGUGGUAUUUUGGGGAACUCACUAAGCAUUUAUGCUUACAAUUGUUGUGUUUGGUGUUUCAGGUACUAACGAGGACCGUGGGAAGGCGUCGGCAUGAUCCAUACACAUUGAGAAGAUUUAUGUAUUUGAGAUCUUUUGAGAUUCUGGGAUUUGUUUGUUAUGAUGACAUUGGAUACAGUUUGUUUGAUAUUGCUUUGAUGAUUGAAAAUGUGAUUUAAAAAUGAAAAAUUGUUUUGAAAAUUUCACAUUGUUACAACAGCAAACCCUGUAGAGGUAAUGUCUCAAAAUCUUGAGAGUGAAUACCACCUUUCCCAGCUCCAGAUCAUGAGUAGGGUAUCUCAUCUCGUACGGUUUUAACUGUCGAGAUGCGUAGGCUAUCACCCCUCAUCUCUGCAUGAGGACCGCUCCUAGUCCCGUGAUGGAUGCAUCACAAAACACCACUAAAUUCUCAACUCCCUCUGGUAGAGUCAAGACUGGAGCCUCGCAAAGUCGUUGUCGGAGGGUCUCAAAGGCCCUCUGUUGCUCAGGGCCCCACCGGAAAUCCACCCCCUUCCUCGUCAGACGAGUGAGGGGUACUGCAAUCUUGGAGAAAUCAUGUAUGAAUCUCCAGUACUACCUAGCCAAUCCCAAGAAACUCCUGAUAUCCGAGGGAGAUUUCGGAACCUCCCACUACAUAACCGCCUCAAUUUUGGUCGGAUCGACCAAAAUCCCCUCAUGGUUAAUGAGAUGUCCAAGAAACCAAACCUCUCAUAACCAAAACUCACACUUCAAGAACUUGACAUAAAUUCGUUCUCGUCUCAGAACUCCUAAUAGCUCAUGUAGAUGCUCUUCAUGCUGCUCUCGGGUCUUGGAGUACACCAAGAUAUCAUGUAUGAACACGAUGACCAAGCAAUCGAGCAUCAGUCUGUAGACCAGAUUCAUCAAGUCCAUAAAUAUUGUCAAUGUGUUGGUAAGCCCAAACCGCAUCACUAUGAACUCGUAAUGUCCAUAACAAGUUCGGAACACGGUCUUCUCCACGUAGUCAUCCCUAACCCUGACCCGAUUGUAUCUGGACCUUAGGUCUAUGUUGGAGAACCAAGAUGCUCCCUGCAACUGAUUGAAUAGAUCAUCUAUCCUUGGGAGUGGAUAACGGAUCUUCACCGUUAACUUGUUCAACUCCCGUUAAUUAAUGCAUAUCUGGUGCAAACCAUCCUUCUUCCUGAUGAAGAUAAUCGGUGCUCCCCACGGAGAAUUGCUCAAACGGAUGAACUGCUUGUCCAACAGUUCAUGCAGCGGUGAUAACAGCUCCAUCAUCUCAGGUGGUGCCAAUUGGUACGACGCCUUAGCAAUAGGGAUCGCACCUGGCACUAGGUCGAUCCUGAACUCAACCUGCCCCUUCGGAGACACUCUGGGUAACUCCUCGGGAAACACAUCUACGAACUCUCUGACAACCGAAACGUUCGAAACCGAAACCUGAUCCCCGAACCGUGUAUCCACCACAUACACCAAGUAACCUGCACACCCGUGCUGAAUAUAAUGUCGAGCCCGGGCAUCUAAAUAAAACCUUGAACCCAAUCUGGUGCCCACGCUGUAGAUAACCAGUUCUCCCCCACUUGGGGUUUGAACUACCACCCGCUGACCCUCGCAGUCGAUCAUGACACCAAAGCGACUCAACCAAUCCAUACCCACAACCACACAUACAUCCCCCAUGGGAAUCAGAAUCAAGUCUAUCGGGAAGGAUACCUCGAAGAUCUCAAGAACGCAGCCCCGAUAGACUGAAGAAGUAGAAAUCUCAUGUUCGUUGGCGAUGGAGACUCGCAGCGGACACUCUAGCUCUCCUACCGACAAACCGAACUCCCUACUGAACGAUCGAUAGACAAAUGACCGAAUUGCCCCCGAGUCAAAUAAUACCAGAGCAGGUAAUGAGUUCACUAAAAAUGUACCUAAUCAUGGGUACAAACAUAUAAGCAUAAAACAAAUAUGUAACGCCCGGGUUUCAGGGCUAAGCAUUUUUGUCAAUGUAAUAGUCUAGGUCAACUCUUGUAACUCUUUUUUUGAAGUAAUAAAAAUGAAAUAUUUGAGUAUUAUGUGAAUUAUGUGUAUUUAUGUGCUUAUAAUUUAAUUAUAAAUGUAUAAUUAAUAAAUAAUAAAAAUAAGCGUCAAAAUUAAAGUAUAAGAUAAUCCCGAUAUCUCUACAUAAAGUUGUAGAAUAUGUCUCAAGGUUUUCGUACAUAUAAAGAAUGCCGAAAUCCGAGUUAUAACGAAGAAGUUAUGACCCGUCGAAGUUUUACGGCAAAACCGGCACGGCACCGGGAAGCGUAAAUAGUGAAUUUACGAUAGAGCGAGAUUUAGCCUUAGCAAUCUAAACAAAAGUUGUAGAAUAUGUUAAACUAAGAGCGUCGAUAAAAAGAACGCCCAAAUCUGACUUCGUAUGAGGAAGUUAUGAUUUUUCUAAGAUUCGGCUUAGCAGUGCACGACCCGAAACUCGAAUUUUAGUUCGAGCGGUUUUUGGCCUACGCAACCUAAAUGAGAGUUGAAGAUCUCAUUAAUAGGAACUCAACGGUAAAAAGAUGGACGAAAACGGAGUUCGUAUGAAGGAGUUACGAAUUCUUCGCGGUCAUUUAACAGUCUAAAGGCCUCCUACUGUUAAAUUUGAGAUCGGUCAAGAAUUAGCUGACGGAGUCUAAACGAAAGUUGUAGAGUACGUCUUCACCUACGCGUGGAUAUAAAGAACGUCAAAAACGGAGUUCGUAUGAACGAGUUACAAAUUAUAAUAACAUAUUUACGUAUUAAAAUAAAGUAUAAAUCAUGUAUACGUACACAUAUAUAUACAUAUGUAUAUAUCAUUAGAAAGGUAUCGACGAUGCGGUCAUUAUAAGACUAAUGUUGAGUUCUUUCGACAUUAGUUUAGUACAAAUAUCAUUAAAUCCAUUUAUAAUAGUAUUAUAGAGGGGUGUUUAGUUGUUUAUAUAACUAAAAGGUCAUUAAGUAAUUAUGGAGGGUAGUUUUUGAAAAUUCAAUUAGUAUAAAUAAGAGCCUUGGGCUCUCAUAUUUCUUGCACCAUUCUCUUGAUUCAAGAGUCUUUCUCUCCUUAUCCCCCGAGCAUUUCGGUCCCUCGUGAUUCGACUUCUCUUUCUGUAGCUUAGUAUAGUAAGGUGAGCGCUGAAGCGCUGCACGAAUCUUUCUUAGAAAGAUUCAGCGACGAAGUUCUGCCCCUGCAGAGCCCGACUCCUAGCUAAAACCCCCUUGUAAGUAAGUUAUGCUUACCUUAUUUUAAUAUAGCUUAUAUUUAAAAUUAGUAUUGUUAUUAUGAACUUAUAAUAAAUAUUUGAGCUAUUAUUAUAACUUAUAUAAGUGUCGUUAUAAUAUUUUUUUUAACUACUCGCGGUACGGGGAAUCUGGUUUAAAGGGCCGCAUAGGGUUGUUGGAUUUCAGAAGUGCUAUAUGCCAAAAUGGUCCUGCCCUCCGGUGUUUUAUGUCUGGCCCCUGUCUGUACAUAGUGGUUGGAAAAUAUUGUUUAACGCUUAUAUAAUAAUAAUAAUACUAAGACUAAUAGUUGGUCACGGUAAAUAUUAGACUAAAAUUUAGCGAUAAUAAUGCUAGGUUUCGUCGAAGGAAAAUAGAAUCGUUAGAAGCAAGCGCUGCCCGAUUUUGGAAUCAUCACCUUAACAAGUGAGUGCAUAGUUACUUUCAACUUACACAUAGAUAUGAAGUAUUUUAUAUAAAUUACGUGCUAUGUGUGCAUAUUAUCUGAAUACUUGCUAUCUAUGCUAGAUGAACAUUGUUAUACAUGUUUUCAAUGAUUUAAACUGUAUAUGUAUUUUAUAUCUACGAAAAUGUUGGGGUAAAACAUGGGUAGAUGUAAUAGGUGAUGUGUGAUAAAAUGAUGAGAGGCCUCGAUGUUGAUGUUGUUGUUUCUGUCAUCUAGCGGAGUAUGGAUGACGACCACGGACUCUUCUAGACAGUCCAGUGGAACACUAGCAGGCUCGCAACCUGUAGGUGUUUGUGAACGAUAUGUUCACCGGUGUACUCCAUCCCCCACAUGGUUGCCUUUAGGACAUUUAUUGCUGAGGAAUCCCCUUAGCAGUAGUGUCCGUCCCGAUGAUGAUCCUUAGGCUAGGUCCCUUAUGAUAGGUGUUUAGGGACGUAAAGUGAGGAUAACGGGAACGGGUAAUCGGGUUAUUGUUGAUUGAAUUAAUAAACUUAUUUAUUGUGGGUUGAAAACCCUAUGUGCUCACCAGGAUCCCAAGCCUGACCCACUCAGUUUUAUGUAUUACAGGUAGUGGCGCAUGAGCAUAGGUGUGAUGUUUUGGACGAGGGAUUACGGAUAUAGGCCUGUAGAUAUGAAAUAAUGUAGUAAGGCUUAUAUUGUACUGUUUAUGCUUUUGAUCUGUACGAACAUGACAUCCCGAGUCUUUUAAUGAAAUACAUUUCUAUGGAAAUGCUUUUGAUAAAUCUUUAUCAUAUUUUUGUUUUGGGACAAAUUCCGCAACACUUUCAUUUAAAAUGUAACUCUGAUUUUUAAACAAAGCAUAAACAAACCGGUCUUUUGUGGCCAUGAUUUUGGGGAUGUCACAAAAUACAAAUCAACAAGAUAAGGGAUAGAAACAUACCAGCAACCACAUCCGGUGAUAUCUUGGCCUCCUCGGCUGUAAGCUGAAAGGCGCAUCCCCGAGCCUUCGAAGGAUCUGCUCUACCCUGACUCCCGUCAGUAAUCCUUAAUGUAGUCGGCACUGGAGCCUGCGCCAUCCUGGCAGCUAGUAGGGGACAUUGGGACUUCAUAUGGCCCACUGACUCACAAUGGUAACAAAGUCCAACUCCAUAAGCUGGAGUAUGCUGCCUACAAUCCCUAGCAAUGUGUCCCUGCUUGCCACACUUGUGGCACCCACUACCAGAUUGGAAAACCCCAGAAUGAGCCUUCCUAUACUUCCCAUAAGUACGGUCGUACUGACCUCCAAACCUAGAAUCAGCAGUCUUGGACUGCUUUGGCGUCGGCUGUGAUUGCGUCGAGGCCUGCCUCUUCUCUCUCAACUGCAGCUCAAUCUCAAGCUCACACCGCCUAGAGGUCUCCUAUAACUCUAGUAAUGUGUCACAUCGUUGGGUAGCAACAAACUACCUGAUGUCAGUCUUGAGCAUGCUCAGAUAACGAGUCAUCUCAGCCUACUCAAAUUCAAAUUCCAGGCAAAACAUCGCCCUCUCAGUGAACAUGCGGGUGAUCUUCGUCACCGACUCUGUACCAUGUCUCAGAUCCAAAAAAUCAUGUAACAUCCGCUUGCGCUCCACCCAUAGAAUGUAGCAAGCGCAGAACAUCUCCUUGAACUGCUCCCAAGUAACCACAACUCUUUGAUCAUCUGUAUACGACCCAGCCAUCAACCUCCACCAGUCCUUUGCCCCGGACCUCAUCAAUUUUAGGGAACAUCUGACCUUCUAGUCAGGAGGACAUGAGAACAUAAAGAAACAUCCCUCCAUGUCAGACAACCACCUCAUGGCUACGAUCGGAUCCUGAGUCCCAUAGAAAGUCGGGGGCUUCGUGUUACCGAAGUCCCGGUAUUGAAAAACCUGACCUGUCCCCGCACCUGCAGUCACCACGGCUACGGAAGCUGCAGCAGCAGCAGUCUCAGCAAUGGCUGCGUAUCGGUCAUCAAAAUACUCCAUCAUGGUGGUCUUGAUAGGCCUGAACAUCUCUGGAAUCUAACCCUGGACGAUCUCGACCACCUUCUCGCGGAUGAUCUCCCUGACACGAUCCUCUGUCAACACUGGCCAACCUAGCCGAUAGUCUUGGGCGCUGUCAGGGCAUUCUGACCGACCUACCUUGAUCCCGAUCCGGAUCUAGUCUCAAAAUGCCUCGUAACCACCAUACCAAAAAUACAUCAGGAGGAUAUCAGAUAAUCCGCAUAAAUAAUAGGGAACCAACUCCCAACUACCCUUGGGGUUGUGACUUCCUUGCUAUGCGUAUGGGUCAUGUGCUUUCAGUAGUAUGGGCCCAUACUACCUUCCACACCUACCCAUAUUUGUCUCAAGUAUCUGUUGGAUUAGUGUCUAAGUCCAUAACUAUUUUGGUAUGUACUUGACCCGAUGGUGCAUGGUCCUUUUGGGUUGCCUUCACCAAAGCAACUUGAUAGGAUGAAUUAUGGAGAGAAAGGAUUAAAUAUGAUUUAUUAAUAUAUUAUGGGAAUAAUAUAUUAAAGGAGAAAUCAUAUUGUUUAAUUAAUAUUAGUCAAGAAUUAAUUGGUAAUUAGUUUUGUGACUAAAGGAGAUUAAUUAAACUUAAGGGACUGGAAUUGUAAUUAUAAGAUAAUUGCAAUUAGGGCCAUGGAUUGCCUUUUAUUAUAAGGUGGACGAAUUCUAUGGGGGAAGCCCAUAUGAAAUCGUCCAAGGCCUUGAGAAAAAGGGCUCCAUGGGUUGCUUAGGGCUUAGGCAUCCAAAUUAGGGUUUCCUUGUUAGAUAACCCUAAUUGCCUCACUAUAUAUAGAUCCCUUAUGAACCAAAAACGUGGACAAGCUUCUUGCUAGGGUUUCACACGAGUUUUGGUAGCCUCCAUCCUCUCUCCUCUUCAUCCUCUUGCUUAUGGUGUUUGUGAACCAUUAGAGGAGUGACACUUGUGACUCUAAGCCUUCCAAAGUCAAUUCAAGGAGGAAUUGGGAUUGUUAUUGCUACAUAACAAUCAAGGUAAUAUCUUAAACCUAAUUAUAUGUUAAUAUCGAUUUCCAUAUGCUAGAAUUAGGGUUUAUAGUCUUGGAUAACUUGCAUGUACAAUAGAGAAACCUAGAUCCAAGCAUUAGGGUUUGUAUGAGCACAUAGGAUGUUCUUAGGACCAAAACCCAUCAGUGGUAUCAGAGCCUAGACUGGUUUCAAUUGUAUUGAUGCAUUACAUGUUCAAAAAAUUCGAUUUUUGAUGUUCUGGAGGCUGGACUCGCCGAGUCCAUGGCUGAACUCGCCGAGUCCAUGCAGACUCGACGAGUCCAAGCCUGACUCGACGAGUCAACUCGUCAGAUGGAGGGUAUUUCGCGAUUUCUUGCUGUUUUUGCUUAUGGAUAGUUACCUUAUCAUGUUAGAUCAAUAUUAAUCCGAUUAUAUGAUAUAUUUGACUAUAUUUUUGAUCUAAUUGAAGAUAUUUAUCAAUUAAUAAGAUAAUUGUUUCCUUAUGUGAUAAUUGAUUAAUUAUUUUGAUUAAAUUGAUAAAUUGUUUUGCAAGAAAUCAUUAAAUAAAUCAAAUAUGGAUAAUUAUGUGAUUAAAUGUUAAUUUAGAUUAUUUGUUAUUUGAUCCUUGUUGUUAUGAAAAGUUUCAUAUUUUCCCCUUUAGGUUUUAUAGUUUAAAUUUGAACCCAAAAGUUUUGUUGUUUUGAAAUUUAAAUAGUUGAAACCCUAAUGUUUUGAAAAAGGUUUCAAAACUUGCCCUCAAGUUUUGGAAUUUAAAUUUUGAUUAAAUGGUUUAAUUUUGAUGUAUAUUUAAAUUCUAAACCCUAAUGUGUUGAAAUGUUUCAAAACUUGCCCUCAAGUUUUGGAAUUUAAAAGUUGAUUAAAAGUUUAAUUAGGAAUGUUAAAUUCUAAAACUCUAGUAUUGUUUUGAAAAAGUUCAAAUCACACCCUUAUGGUUUUAUUAAUUAAUUAAGGUGUAUAAUUAAAAGAGGUUUAAUAAAUCCAUAAAAGUUUUGGUUUACAAUUUAAUUGAAUUAAAAGUAUAAUUGUUAAAUUUGACCACCUAGUAUUUUAAAAGUGUAAAAUACACCCUAUACUAUAUAUAACAUUAAAAGUCUAACAUUAUAUAUAUGUAUGAGUAAAAGUCAGUCUUACCGUUAGUAGGCCUCAUUCACGAAGCUGGUCUAUAAGGGGUGUUUAAGGAAAUUGCCUAUAAAAUGGCGAUUGAAUGGGUAUCCACUCUUACCCACCGCACUCUUGACUAGUGGAGGGUCGUUAGCCGAACGGGUAGGAUAGGACGAAACCUUCCAUUAUAAGUAUAAUGAAUUAUUAAAGUAACUAAAUGUUUUCAUAAAAUUCCCAAUCUUAGUUACUUAGGCAAAAGUGAAUUGAUGCAAUUCCAUGAAAUUACACUUUGUGCCCUUGCGAAGACGUUAGUGGAGCGUGUGUGGUUUACCGGCACACUAAAUGGUUCUAAGCAAAGGUAGCAAAGGGUGACUCAAUGUUUGUCAUAGUUCGGUGGAGCGUGUGUGGUUUACCGGCACAUCGAAUAGGUGACUGUAACAUGUGAGGGCACCAUGUAGUUUGCAUGGUUAUUCACACCCGCUUUGUGAUCCUCGGCAUCCCAGUCACAAACUAGAGGGGCAUAUCGAGAUUUAAACAUGCCAUUGAAAUGUUCAAUGAAUCUCAAAGGAUCUAGGAGUUUUCAUAGAUUUAAAACUUAAAUUUCUUUUUCGUUUUUCAUGGUGGAAAUUAGUGAAUCGUCAUUCACUUACCUUCAAAUGUUCUGCAAUUAGGGUUACGGCAUCCCUCUCCCGAGUUGUAGAAUAUUGUGUUGGGUCCUAGCCUUAGUAUCUCAUUUGGGUGAUUUACUAAGGACUCAAUCAAUCAACUAACUUGAAUUCGUUUUCUCCCGUUUUGUAGAUGUCAAAGUUCGACAACUAUGGUCUUCCCAAAUCCCGUGGAACAAGCAUUCCACAUGAAGAUGAUAUUCCACGAUUCGAUCGAGGAACAAGAAAUCAUGCUUCACUUCCUCCACCUCCUCCAAUUAUUCUCCCUAACCCACAAGUUCAAAGGCUUGAAAAGUUCAAGAUCACUCAAGCCCUUUUGGCAAGUAAACAUAAAGAAGGAAAGUCGGUGUGUGCACACGUCCUAGGGAUGAAGUCACACAUUGAUAGGUUAAGAAUGUUGGGAUCCGUUGUCUGUGAGGAAAUGGCUGUUGAUUGGGUUCUUCAGUCACUUCCUAACUCAUAUAGUGAGUUCGUAAGAGAGUACUAUAUGAUGAACCGCGACGUGACCCUUAUAGAUCUCACCUAUAUGCUUAUUGCUGCUGAAUCAGCAAUGGUUUGGCGCAAUAGAAAAGCAAAGUUGAUUGGUGAAUCUGCCUUCAAGACCUCUAUGGAUAUAGACAAUGGCAACGAAAGACAUGCUAUGAUCGAAAAGUUUGAUCAUAAGAGAAAGGCAAUGUCUGAAGUAGUUCCAUGUCAUGUUCCAAAAGAGUCAAUUUGCUUUUAUUGCCAAGAGAAAGGGCAUUGGAGACGAAGCUGCCCCAUUUACCUAAGAGAUCUAAGAGAUGGGAGAGUCGAAACGUAUGGCUCUAAUAUAGGUAAAAUCCAUUAACUAACUCUUUUAAGCUUCUAUUCUAGAUUCUUAAUACAUAAUGUGAUAAGAUUACAAUUGAUGUUUUGUAGGAUCGAAGAAAAGAAAGGAAGCUUAAGGGAAGAAGUGAGCAGAAUCUAACCGUGAAGGAAUGGAUUUCGAUCGCAUUUCUCGAAGAUUAGAUUCUUGAGCUACUACUUAGAGUUAGAAUUAGAUUGCUAAGAAAGAUGUAUUAGCAUAAGUUUUUCAAUGAAUUGCAUUGUAAGGACAAAUUUUUCCGCAAUAAAAUAAAUUUUGAUUUUAAAUUUUAUUUAUUUAUCCUUACAAUGGCGUGUAUGAAAAAUUGAUGUUAAAAUGUUUCUAUUAUUAGCAAUAAUGGAUUUGGUUCUUAUUAUGUUAUUUAUGGAAAGUCGAGAAUUUACCAAAUAGGGAGAGUUUCUCAUCGCCCAAGUUUCAAUUGGACAGAAACUUGGAAUCAUGCAACUUGGUUGCACGAUGAAUGAGAAAUUUCAUAUUUGGAAAUUAGACAAAUUCAUUGACAAAGUGUCAAGUGAAGGACUAAGAGAUCGAGCACACAAAGUUGCGUGUUGAUCAAGUCCACCAUAAGAGUAACAAUGAUAUUCGUCAUGAUUUACUAAAGGUUUAGUAAAUAUGAUUAUACUUAUAAGAUUAAGUGUAAUUCUGAAUUGAUUGAAAAGGUUUAAAUCAAUAGCAGAACGAAUAAGAAGAAUCAAGUAGGCAGAAAGAUAAAAGUUUCUCCAUUCUAAGAAGAAGGGAGAGUACCUUUUAUGCUUUAUGAUAGGUCUUAAUGAUUAAGAACCAUAUCUCAAUUGAUCCUCUAAGUGAGUCUUAGUACAAUUGUAUGUCUAAGAAGAGGAAUCAAGAAUUGAAGAAAUGGUUAAAUCAAUAAGUCAAUCAUACUUCGUUCCAAUAACAAGUCUUAAAGUUAAGAUUGUGACAUUGAGUGAAAGGUAUUAAGAAGGUUUGUAACUUUCAUUAAAUGUGGAAAGUUGUGAUGUCUUGGAUAAGACAAAGACCAACUAGGACCAAUUUAUGAAGUGUUUUGAUAAAAGCUACACUAACUCUUGAAUAUUUGUUUGUCAAGAAAUGGUUAUUGACAAGAGAAUCUUAUAUGUCAAGGAGUCAGUGGGAGUCUUAAUGGUCUUGAAAGGUUUCAAGAACAAAUCAAAUAAACCUUAUCGAUCAUCACUAGCACACGAGUUGAGGUUUACAACCUAUCGUGUUGACAUUAUUUUGAUUCUGUGCCAAUCCAAUCGAGUUAAUUAUGCAUGUGAGUUCUAUGAGUUCUCAUUUUGAACGCAUAAAAGGCAAAGCACCUUAAUCAAUGAAAGGUACAUUGAUAGGAAAGGGUGAGCUGCUUAACUACUUGGAAGACAUGGUGGGCAGCUGUGCUACCAUAAGGCAAGAAAUCAAGAUUAAGAA